UUUUAGUGGCGGACGGGUGAGUAACGCGUGGGUAACCUGCCUCACACUGGGGGAUAACACUUAGAAAUAGGUGCUAAUACCGCAUAAGCGCACGGGACUGCAUGGUCUUGUGUGAAAAACUCCGGUGGUGUGAGAUGGACCCGCGUCUGAUUAGCUGGUUGGCGGGGUAACGGCCCACCAAGGCGACGAUCAGUAGCCGGCCUGAGAGGGUGGACGGCCACAUCGGGACUGAGACACGGCCCAAACUCCUACGGAAGGCAGCAG
rnacentral:rRNA from 1 species